GAUGAACGCUAGCUACAGGCUUAACACAUGCAAGUCGCGGGGCAUCAUGGAGGUUGCUUGCAAUUUCUGAUGGCGACCGGCGCACGGGUGAGUAACGCGUAUCCAACCUUCCCAUUACUACGGCAUACCCCGUUGAAAGGCGGCCUAAUUCCGUAUGCAGUCCGAAGCAGUCAUCUAAUUUGGACGAAAGGUAUAUUCUAUCGGUAAUGGAUGGGGAUGCGUCCGAUUAGCCAGCCGGCGGGGUAACGGCCCACCGGGGCAUUGAUCGGUAGGGGUUCUGAGAGGAAGGUCCCCCACACUGGAACUGAGACACGGUCCAGACUCCUACGGGAGGCAGCAGUGAGGAAUAUUGGUCAAUGGGCGUAAGCCUGAACCAGCCAAGUAGCGUGCAGGAUGACGGCCCUAUGGGUUGUAAACUGCUUUUAUGCGGGGAUAAAGUUGGGGACGUGUCCCUUUUUGCAGGUACCGCAUGAAUAAGGACCGGCUAAUUCCGUGCCAGCAGCCGCGGUAAUACGGAAGGUCCGGGCGUUAUCCGGAUUUAUUGGGUUUAAAGGGAGCGUAGGCAGUUUUUUAAGCGUGCUGUGAAAUGUACCGGCUCAACCGGUGAUGUGCAGCGCGAACUGGGAAUCUUGAGUACGCAGUAAGCAGGCGGAAUUCGUGGUGUAGCGGUGGAAUGCUUAGAUAUCACGAAGAACUCCGAUUGCGUAGGCAGCUUGCUGUAGCGUAACUGACGCUGAGGCUCGAAAGUGCGGGUAUCGAACAGG
rnacentral:rRNA from 1 species